ensembl:misc_RNA Y_RNA Y RNA
GGCUGGUCCGAAGGUAGUGAGUUAUCUCACUUGGCUGUUCACAGUCACAGGUCAAACUCCUUGUUCUACUACUUUCCUCCCUUUUCACUACUGCACUUGACUAGUCUUUA